AAAUAAUGCUCGAUUAGUACUUAUAUAUACCCAUAAUAUGGUUGGGAGUCUCUACGUGAAACCUUAAAUUUCACGCUAUAAGUAAAAGUUACUGUAAU
rnacentral:ncRNA from 1 species